CUCUUUUUGCCUGCUGCCAUUCCAGUAGGAUGUGACUUGCUUCUCCUGGCCAUGGUUGUGAGGCCUCCCCAGCUAUGUGGAACUGUAAGUCCGGUAAACCUCUUUCUUUUAUAAAUUGCCCAGUCUCGGGUAUAUCUUCAUUAGCAGCGUGAAAACGGACAAAUACAGCUUCAGUUUCCCCUCACUCCACUCCCCAUUAGGGGAUAGUUUUUGUCCAGAUUAAAGAAAAACCUAUUGUUUAUGGUGGUGCUAGGGGAAAUGAAGAGGAAAGUCUUGCCUCUCCAUUUUCUUCCGUUCAUGAGAUGUUGAGAAGGAACAACAUGAUCUAAGUCUUUAGAAACCAAGAGCCACGACUAGCUGAGGACACAAGAAUUUUCACAAAACAAAGUAGAGUGAUUCCAUAGAUCACUAUUAUAGCUGCAUUACCAGUCCUAGGACAGAAUAUGGAUGCUGAAAAAUGAUUCUUUCAAAGUGCUGAGUUGUUGCCUCACGCCCAGUUGUCUGGCAUCUCUUCACUGAAACUAUUACAGUUAGAUCUCAUCUCUAUGGGUGGAAGGUUGUUGUUCUCAACUCAGCAGGAAAUGUCUUAUGAAGAAAAUGGCCCCUGCUCCUUAGGUAGCAGGCCAUAGGCAAAUACUGACCCUCUUGCCUUCUGAAGCUAAGCUCCAGCUUCAGUAUGCACUUGCUUACCUCCUUCCCCUGUCCACACUGCUUUUACUUGCUCCCUGUCUCCUGAGAGCAUUCAUUAAUAA
rnacentral:lncRNA from 1 species